UACGAAGGGGGCUAGCGUUGCUCGGAAUUACUGGGCGUAAAGCGCACGUAGGCGGCUUCUUAAGUCGGUGGUGAAAUCCUGGAGCUCAACUCCAGAACUGCCUUCGAUACUGGGAGCUCGAGUCCGGGAGAGGUGAGUGGAACUGCGAGUGUAGAGGUGAAAUUCGUAGAUAUUCGCAAGAACACCAGUGGCGAAGGCGGCUCACUGGCCCGGUACUGACGCUGAGGUGCGAAAGCGUGGGGAGCAAACAGGGAUUAAGAUA
rnacentral:rRNA from 1 species